GAGUUUGAUCCUGGCUCAGAUUGAACGCUGGCGGCAGGCCUAACACAUGCAAGUCGAACGGUAACAGGAAGAAGCUUGCUUCUUUGCUGACGAGUGGCGGACGGGUGAGUAAUUUCUGGGAAACUGCCUGAUGGGGGGGGAUAACUACUGGAAACGGUAGCUAAUACCGCAUAACGUCGCAAGACCAAAGAGGGGGACCUUCGGGCCUCUUGCCAUCGGAUGUGCCCAGAUGGGAUUAGCUUGUUGGUGGGGUAACGGCUCACCAAGGCGACGAUCCCUAGCUGGUCUGAGAGGAUGACCAGCCACACUGGAACUGAGACACGGUCCAGACUCCUACGGGAGGCAGCAGUGGGGAAUAUUGCACAAUGGGCGCAAGCCUGAUGCAGCCAUGCCGCGUGUAUGAAGAAGGCCUUCGGGUUGUAAAGUACUUUCAGCGGGGAGGAAGGGAGUAAAGUUAAUACCUUUGCUCAUUGACGUUACCCGCAGAAGAAGCACCGGCUAA
rnacentral:rRNA from 1 species